rnacentral:misc_RNA from 1 species
ACAAACCCGGCGCGCGCGCAUGCAUCGAGAAUGAUCCGGUGAAGGCCAGGACCCUGACGUGCGGCGAACAAUAUCCAUGGAUCGUGCGCGAGAUCGGACAGCUUGAUCUGCUCAUAUCGCGCCAGUGAAUGUCUUUCUGGAAUGGCCGCGACCAGCCGGUAACCCUCACGGCUCAGGUUGUCGGCGUCGUGAAGGGGCGGAAUGACAAAGCCGAGAUCGGCUUCCUGUGCAUUCAGCAAGCCGAUCUGCUGCGCUGUCAUCG